CCUACGGGAGGCAGCAGUGAGGAAUAUUGGUCAAUGGGCGCAAGCCUGAACCAGCCAAGUCGCGUGAGGGAUGACGGUCCUAUGGAUUGUAAACCUCUUUUGUCGGGGAGCAAGGCCCGCCACGUGUGGCGGGAAGGAGAGUACCCGAAGAAAAAGCAUCGGCUAACUCCGUGCCAGCAGCCGCGGUAAUACGGAGGAUGCGAGCGUUAUCCGGAUUUAUUGGGUUUAAAGGGUGCGUAGGAGGAAGGUUAAGUCAGCGGUAAAAUGUCGGUGCUCAACACCGGCCUGCCGUUGAAACUGGUCUUCUUGAGUGAGCGAGAAGUAUGCGGAAUGCGUGGUGUAGCGGUGAAAUGCAUAGAUAUCACGCAGAACUCCGAUUGCGAAGGCAGCAUACCGGCGCUCAACUGACGCUGAGGCACGAAAGCGUGGGGAUCGAACAGGAUUAGAUACCCCAGUAGUC
rnacentral:rRNA from 1 species